rnacentral:sRNA from 1 species
UUUGAGAAGCGCGUGAGGGAUGGUAGCGGAAAUCCUUUUUGUGUUGCGCCUGAAAGGCGUGACACAAAAAGAUUGUAGCGGACAGCCCGACCCGAG